CUGAGAGUGGAAGGUUGUUGACAGAGUGGUGCAGAUUUGAAAAAUGGACUUGUCCUCCUCUCGUAUUUGACAGAGGACGGUUGAGAUGCCAUAGGGGAGAUGCAGUCUACAAGAAAAGCCAGAGAAAGACUGGCACAACUUCCCUACCAUUUUAUUCAGUGCAGCUUUGAGGCAUCCUCAUAUGCCAAAUGUGUGUCAGUGAAAGGAGAUUUAAAGAAGGAUGAUUGUACUAAAGAAUUCAAGGCUUUGAAAGACUGUGUGAGGAAAUCAAUGGAGAAGAAAAGAUGAUCAUCAGAGUAACCUCCCCAUUGUGUGGUACUGAUCUUUUUUGACUGGAAUAUUGUUCCUCCCAGGAUCUUCACCAUUUUCUGGCCACGAAACUAAUCUGGCAUGGGAACAAAGCUUGGAUAACUUUCUUUGAUGUGGGUUCUUGUGUGUUGCCUGAGGUAGAGUGGGUAACUGUGAACAGUUGUGUAUUAGAAUAAUCUGGAGUAAAUGAACUUUAUGGCUUGACAAAUUGGUUUUGUAUGGCAUUUGUUGACAGUUCUCAUCUGUCUGCCAUUCUCAAUUCUCUUUCAUUAACAUGAAAGACAUUUGCAGUUUCUGUCAGCAACUUUUUAUGGCCUGCUGUUAUUUAUACUGGAGCCAUCGUUAAAAUGUUUGUUAGGUACCAUUCAACCAACCCUUCAAAACUCUGAAUUUUAAUAAUAGCUUCUUUUUUUUUUAUCUCUCCAUUCUAAUUUCUGUGAAGUCCCUUUGUUUUUCAAAAAAAUUUCCUACCAUCAGUAUGGCCUUGUGACUUUGAACUGAAGUAGUUGCUAGAUAGGUGGAUGACCAACAUUUGUGGAUUACACCAAGAUGACCUUGAUUUUGUUCAGAUCAAAUAGUUCAGGAUAGUUAUGUUCAGGAUAAUAUCAUUGCAUUGGAUAUUCCAGUGGGAAGGGGGAAAGAAUUGCGGAAUCACUGUAUGGCAGUGGGAAGCAGAUGAGGUGAAAAGUAACAUGGGAGGUACGGGGAAAUCAACAACAGUGGUGAAUUACUCUGAGAACUAAGCCUGAUUAUAAGCAGAAAUUAUAGGAUGUUAGACUACAGAACAAUCUGCAUAUAUGUAAAUUGUGAAGUGGAAUUUUUCCCAUCACAGAAUUCAAACAUGUAAAUACAUUUAGUUAUCUUUAAAAAAGUUUUUAAAAAAUAAAUGAAUGUAUUUUUACACACAUGUCAGUGUUUGGGUAUUAUCAUGAAAAUUCAAAUUCAGUGUGAUUACUUGCUUGUUGUAGUAACUUUUAACUCUGAUAAAUGCGU